rnacentral:rRNA from 1 species
AUUGAACGCUGGCGGCAGGCCUAACACAUGCAAGUCGAACGAGUGGCGGACGGGUGAGUAAUGUCUGGGAAACUGCCUGAUGGAGGGGGAUAACUACUGGAAACGGUAGCUAAUACCGCAUACCAUCAGAUGUGCCCAGAUGGGAUUAGCUAGUAGGUGGGGUAACGGCUCACCUAGGCGACGAUCCCUAGCUGGUCUGAGAGGAUGACCAGCCACACUGGACCUGAGACACGGUCCAGACUCCUACGGGAUGCAGCCGUGGGGAAUAUUGCCCAAGGGGCGCAAGCCUGAUGCAGCCAUGCCGCGUGUAUGACGAAGGCCUUCGGGUUGUAAAGUACUUUCAGCGGUGAGGAGUUACCCGCAGAAGAAGCACCGGCUAACUCCGUGCCAGCAGCCGCGGUAAUUC